CGUUUAGAAGUGGAUUCGAACCACUGACACAAGGAUUUUCAGUCCUCUGCUCUACCAAAACAGCUAUCUAAAC
rnacentral:tRNA from 1 species